GGAGCUUCCCGGGUGGGCGAGGGAAUGGGCGGAGGCAGUGGGAGAAGAAGGAGGAAGGCUGGAAGAAGCAUGGGGGCGGGACUAGGAGGUGCGUCUGGGCGCUGAGGAGCGGCGGGAACCCAGGUUCCAUGAUGGCAGGAAUCUUCUUUUCUACCAAGUUUUCCCCUCAGUUGAACAGACUAAUUGUUUAAUGGAAAAUGAAUAUAACUUUUUAAAACACACUGUCAAGAGGAUGAGAAGACAAGCUUCAGACUGGUAGAAAAUAUUUGCAAUAGAUAUAUGUGAUAAAGGACUAUUAACUAAAAUACAAAGAACUCUUAAAACUCAAUAAUAAGAAAACAAAUAACCUGAUUAAAAAAUGGCAAGAGACCUGAACAGAUACCUCACCAAAGAAGAUAUACAGAGGCAAGUAAGCAUAUGGAAAGGAGCUCAAUAUCAUAUGUCAUUAGAGAAAUGCAAAUUAAAACAACAAUGAUGAGAUUCUACCACACAGCUAUUGGAAUGGCCAAAAUCCAAAACACUGACAUCUCCAAAGGCUGACAAGGAUGUGGAACAACAGGAGCUCUCAUUCAUUGUUGGCGGGAAUGAAAAAUGGUACAGCUACUUUGGAAGAGAGUUUGGCAACUUCUUACAAAACUAAACCUACUGUUACCAUAUAAUCCAGCAAUCAUGUUCCUUGCUAUUUACUCAAAUGAGUUGAAACCUUAUGUCCACAUAAAAACCUGCACAUGAAUGUUUAUAGCAGCUUUAUUCACAAUUGCCAAAAAUUGGAAGCAAUCAAGAUGUCCUUCAGUAGCUGAAUAAAUAAACUGUAGGACGUCCAGAUAAGGGGAUGCUAAAAAGAAAUGCAAAAAAGUGCUACAAAGAAAUGAGCUAUCAAUCCAUGAAAAACAUGGGAAAAGCUUUAAAUGCAUAUUGCUAAGUGAAAGAAGUCAAUCUGAAAACCUGUAUCACAGGUCCAAUUCUGUGAUAUAAAGCAACACAUCACAAAGCGUUUUUACAGAUAGCUUGUUUCUAGUUUUUAGGGCUGGAUAUUCAUAUUUUCUUAUAAAAGGUCAAUAGGUUCGGAAACGUCACUUCUUAGAUUCUAAAAAAAGAGUGUUCCGAACUUGUUAAAUGCAAAUUCAACUACGAUUUCAACUAUGUGAUCUCUGGAAAAGGUAAAACUAUUGAGACAAUAAAAAGAUCAGUGGUUCCCAGGGUAAGGUUUGAUUUCAACUAUAUGAUCUCUAGAAAAGGUAAAACUAUUGAGACAGUAAAGAUCAGUGGUUACCAGGGGAAGGAGGGAUGAAUAGCAAAGCACUGAGAAUUUUAAGGCAAUGAAACUUCUGUAGGAUUCUACCAUGGUGGAUAUAUAUCAUUAUAUAUUUGUUCAAACCCAUAGCAUGUAAAACACCAAGACUGAACACUAAUGUAAGCUAUGGACUGUAUCAAUGUAGGUUCAUUGGUUGUAACAAAUAUACCACUCUGGUGUGGGAUGUUGACAGUGGGGGAGGCUGUACAUGGUGUUGGUGCAGGGGGCGUAUGGGAAUUCUAUGUACUUUCUGUUCAGUUUUGCUAUGAACCUAAAACACCUCUAGAAAGUAAACUCCCUUUUAAAAAAGAAAAAGAUAAUAUGUGUGGAGACCCUAGAGAAAAAAAAGGACCAUAAAUCUAGAAAAACUAGCCCACUACACUCUGAGACUAACCGUUUGUCAAAACAGCAAAUGUACACUUAAGAUUUGUACAUUUCAUUGUAGAUGUUAUAUGUAGAUGUUAUAUCAAAAGAAAACCUAUAAACAAAUACUGAAUUCUAGUUGUGAUAUGCAUGCUGAAAUAUUUACAGGGGAAGUGAACUCAUGUCUGCAAUUUAUUUGAAAUGCAUCAAAAGUGGAUGGAUUAAGAUAUAGAUAAAAGAAUAGAUGGAUGGAUGGAUGGAUGCAUGGUAGACAGACAGACAUAUGAUAAGGCCAGUUGAGUAUAUUGAAAAUAGAAGAAUCUGGGUGAUGAGUAUAUUGGUUGUUCACUGUAAAAUUCUUUCAACUUGCUGUAUGUCUGAAUUUUUUCAUAAUAAAAUGUUGGGAUAAACUAUAUUCAAAACAA